rnacentral:rRNA from 1 species
AACGAGCGCUGGCGGCAGGCUUAACACAUGCAAGUCGAGCGCCCCGCAAGGGGAGCGGCCGACGGGUGAGUACCGCGUGGGAACGUACCUUUUGGUUCGGAACAACUCCGGGAAACUGGAGCUAAUACCGGAUAAGCCCUAACGGGGAAAGAUUUAUCGCCGAAAGAUCGGCCCGCGUCUGAUUAGCUAGUUGGUGAGGUAACGGCUCACCAAGGCGACGAUCAGUAGCUGGUCUGAGAGGAUGAUCAGCCACACUGGGACUGAGACACGGCCCAGACUCCUACGGGAGGCAGCAGUGGGGAAUAUUGGACAAUGGGCGCAAGCCUGAUCCAGCCAUGCCGCGUGAGUGAUGAAGGCCUUAGGGUUGUAAAGCUCUUUUGUCCGGGAAGAUAAUGACUGUACCGGAAGAAUAAGCCCCGGCUAACUUCGUG